rnacentral:misc_RNA from 1 species
GAUGAAGAACGUAGCGAAAUGCGAUACGUAAUGUGAAUUGCAGAUUUCAGUGAAUCAUCGAAUCUUUGAACGCACAUUGCGCCCGCCAGUAUUCUGGCGGGCAUGCCUGUUCGAGCGUCAUUUCAACCAUCAAGCGCCUCGCUUGUGUUGGGGCCCUGCGGCUGCCGCAGGCCCCUAAAUCCAGUGGCGGGCUCGUCGUCGUACCGAGUGCAGUAAACAUCCUCGCUCAGGGAACCCGACGGGUGCCGGCCGUGAAACCCCCCCUCCUCAAGGUUGACCUCGGAUCAGGUAGGGUUACCCGCUGAACUUAAGCAUAUCAAUAAGCGGAGGA